UACGUAGGGUGCGAGCGUUAAUCGGAAUUACUGGGCGUAAAGCGUGCGCAGGCGGUUCGUUGUGUCGGCGGUGAAAGCCCCGGGCUUAACCUGGGAAUGGCCGUUGAAACUGGCGAACUGGAGUGUGGCGGAGGGGGGUGGAAUUCCGCGUGUAGCAGUGAAAUGCGUAGAGAUGCGGAGGAACACCGAUGGCGAAGGCAGCCCCCUGGGCUAACACUGACGCUCAGGCACGAAAGCGUGGGGAGCAAACAGG
rnacentral:rRNA from 1 species